AUUGAACGCUGGCGGCAUGCUUUACACAUGCAAGUCGAACGGGCUGGGGGCAACUCCAGUCAGUGGCGAACGGGUGAGUAAUGCAUCGGAACGUGUCCGGAAGUGGGGGAUAACCCAGCGAAAGCUGGGCUAAUACCGCAGAUGCUCUACGGAGGACAGUGGGGGACCGCAAGGCCUCACGCUCUCGGAGCGGCGGAUGUCCGAUGAGAUUGUUGGUGGGGUAAUGGCGUACCAAGGCGACGAUCGAUAGCUGGUCUGCGAGGAUGAUCAGCCACACUGGGACGGAGACACGGCCCAGACUCGUACGGGAGGCAGCAGUGGGGAAUUUUGGACAAUGGGGGCAACCCUGAUCCAGCCAUGCCGCGUGCGGGAAGAAGGCCUUCGGGUUGUAAACCGCUUUUAGCCGGGAAGAAAAGGCACGGGCGAAUACCCCGUGUUCUUGACGGUACCGGCGGAAUAAGCACCGGCUAACUACGUGCCAGCCGCCGCCGUAAGAC
rnacentral:rRNA from 1 species